rnacentral:lncRNA from 1 species
GGCUAAGUAUAUUAGAAUGGAGAGAAGGAUUGGAAAAUUCAUGAGGAAAUUUUCUCUGCCGGAGAAUGCGAAUACUGAUGCCAUUUCUGCUGUUUGUCAAGACGGGGUCUUGACUGUUACUGUCCAGAAGUUGCCUCCUCCAGAGCCCAAGAAACCCAAAACUAUCGAGGUCAAAAUUGCAUGAGAUAUUAGAGUAGUUAAUAAUUACUCUGUUUUCUCGACAUGGGAUUGGGAAAUGCUCUGUUUUGAUGGUAAUAAAAUGGUAGAGAUCUAGGAGUGGUGGUCUUUCCCUCUGUUUGUCUUUAAUAUUUCCCAUGUUUUUUGAAGUAUGAUGAAAUGUGAAGAACUAAAUGUCUAGGUGUGCCAUCUCUUCUUGUUUACUGCAGGGGAGAUGCUACUACUAUCUAGUUUUGUUUCUUCGACUACUAUCAAUAUAGAGAGUGCAAUUGUUCCUAUCCAAUGCAUAAGUGCAAUUAUCUCAAUAUGGAGAAUGCAAUUUCUUUUUAUCUGAACUCCUUUAUGUCUAUAUUUGACCAAAAAAUUGCAAACCCUUCGUUAAACUAAUUAAUUUUGUGUCAUGAGGAAUUAAAGAUAACAACCUCAGAUCUAUAAAUGACAGUAGUGAGAGGAGAUUAAAUAUGGUGUGCAUUCCAUGUCUAGACAUAAUUAACGAUGAUGGACUAUCAAGUAAUAAAUAGCAUUAAAUGACAUUAAAGUAAAUAAGGAGAAAGAGGAGAUUAAAUAUGGUGUGCAUUCCAUGUCUAGACAUAAUUAACGAUGAUGGACUAUCAAGCAAUAAAUAGCAUUAAAUGACAUUAAAGUAAAUAAGGAGAAGAAUUUACCUAAUAUUGAAUGGGGUGGAUAAUUCCUUCUUCUGACAAAGAUUAAUGAUAGAUAAAUAAUAGAAUAUUGGGACCUUUCUCGAAUCUGAUAGAUAAGUGUGAAUAAUAGACAAUCAAAUAUCUUUACAAAGGUAAUGUUUGUAUUUUAUCUAGAGAGAGUCAGCUUUUCAAAGAGUGUUCUUAUCAAACAAUAUUACAUGUCUUUCACUUUAUCUCUCUAUCUACUUAUAUGGACAUACCCCUAAUCAAUCCUAAAAGUAUAAGUACAAUUCUCCUAAAAGAUCCUAUUACAAAAUUAGCUGUUGCUAUUGCUCCUAACAUUUGACCUAGGCCAUCAUUGGCUGCCCGGCUAUGAAAAUUAUGUACUAGGUGACCUCGACCAAAUUACUUUUCGUAAUCUCUCUUCAUGUUAAAUUUUCUUGAGGCAGAUUUUGACCUAUACAGUUAGUCCCUUCGCUUAUUGAGGUUGACUCUGGACGAUCUUGAUGAGCGGACUUUGUUAAUCACGAUUAGAAAUUUAGGCGAGUAUGUUGAAUAGUAACGUUUCAGACGUGAUGGCUACGUGGCACUUUGCGAGUCGUCUCUUAUAGUCGCGUCGAUUCAGAGUGACGUCAUGAUACCAUUUUCCCAAUGUAUAGUAUCGUUUCUUGUGCCUCUGCCAUUUCGAUACCUGCACUGGGCAUUGACAAUUUGUUUCCUCGAUAUUGAUGCCCGAGUUCUUAUUCAUGGGAGGCCCAUGUACUAUUUCUUCCACUGCUAGCUAGAGCAUGCGCUAUCGUAUUCGUCUCACGCUAGAUAUGGACAUAUGGUGUAUGGGAGGAUGGUUCAUUGCUCGAAGGAGAAACUUGUGAACUUGUUGUAUGGUUGAUAGUAAAUUAUCCCAACAAUGAUCUAAGUUCCUAGGAGAAUAGCCUAAGAUAUCUAUGUGAAUUUCCUAACAUAUUUUGCUAUUUGAGUCUCACUUCACUUUCCAUCAAAUCUUGUUUGAAACUUACGCAUCCCUGUCCAAAAUGUUGCUUUUAUAUAGCAAAACAAAAAAAAUAUUUAAGUUAUCUGCACUGUUAGGUAAAGAUAAUUUUAAUGAUCAGUGUGUUUUAAUAUAUUAUAAUAAUAAAUUAAUUAAUCUACUAUAAAUAUUUAUAAAAUAAUUAUUUUCACGUGAUAUGGUUAUAUAAAUAAUUUUUGCACGACAAAUGAAUAGAGCUAAAAGUUAAAAGACAAAUAAAAAAAGAGCCCAAACGGAAAGGAGUAAAAAUGUAAAAUACAUUACAUGCUAGCAAUUUGAACGACAUGUAACUCGACCACAUUCUAGACGAAUGUAGAACAUGGACAACGUCUAAACAGAAACUCCUAGAAACUUGCCACCUUCCUCUUCUAUUUCUCUCCAAAAGCUUCCCUGUUUCCACUAUUUAAUCACCCAAUCUUCAUUCUUCCCUCAACAUCCCCAGCAAUUCAAUUCUAAAACUCACAAAAUUCCACAUCCAAAAAAAUCCCAGGAUCAUUGGAACCAAGUCAACCAAGAAGAGGAGAAUGGAUUUCAGGCUAAUGGGAAUUGACACACCACUGUUCCACACUCUCCAGCACCUUAUGGACGCUGCCGGUGAAGAUUCCGACAAGUCCGUCAAUGCCCCAUCAAGGAACUAUGUACGUGACGCUAAGGCAAUGGCUGCAACACCAGCCGACGUGAAGGAAUACCCUAAUUCCUAUGUUUUCGUUGUGGACAUGCCAGGGUUGAAAUCCGGAGAUAUUUGCAGGUGGAAGAUGACAACGUGCUGCUGAUCAGUGGAGAAAGGAAGAUAGAAGAAGAUAAAGAAGGGGCUAAGUAUAUUAGAAUGGAGAGAAGGAUUGGAAAAUUCAUGAGGAAAUUUACACUGCCGGAGAAUGCAAAUACUGAUGCGAUUUCUGCUGUUUGUCAAGAUGGGGUUUUGACUGUGACUGUCCAGAAGUUGCCGCCACCUGAGCCUAAGAAACCCAAAACUAUCGAGGUUAAAAUUGGAUGAGAUAUAGCAGUAGUUAUUAGUUACUCUGUUUUCUGGACUUUGGAAUGGAAGUUCUCUGUUUUGAUGUUUGAUCUAGGAGCGGCGAUCUUUUGCUUUUCUGUCUUUAGGUUAUCUACUACUAUGUUUUAUAAGUAUGAUGAAUGGAAAAAUGUGUCAGUAUGCUAUAUCUUGUGUUUAAUGCAAGUGAAAUGCUACUUUUCAGUCUGUGAUUGCUAUCCGUUGUUUCACAUUAUAUGAAUUAGUUUGACUAUGCACGAAG